rnacentral:rRNA from 1 species
UACGGAGGGUGCGAGCGUUAAUCGGAAUAACUGGGCGUAAAGGGCACGCAGGCGGGUUUUUAAGUGAGAUGUGAAAUCCCUGAGCUUAACCUAGGAAUAGCAUUUCAGACUGGGUGUCUAGAGUGCUGUAGGGAGGGGUAGAAUUCCACGUGUAGCGGUGAAAUGCGUAGAGAUAUGGAGGAAUACCGAAGGCGAAGGCAGCCCCUUGGGAAUGUACUGACGCUGAUGUGCGAAAGCGUGGGGAGCAAACAGG